AACUCAAAGGACUUGGCGGUGCUUUAGACUCCUUAGGGGAACCUGUUUCAUAAUCGACAGUCCACGUUACACCUUUCCUUUAUUUGCAACUAAAAUUAGUCAGUAUGUAUACCGUCGUCGUCAGGUAACUUUUAAGAAUUAGGAAGUUAGCUACAAAAUUGUCUAUGAAUUUUGACGUCAGAUCAAGGUGCAACCUAUAAAAAGGAGAGAAUGGGUUACAAUUAAAAAUUAUAAUAUGGAAAAGAAAUUGAAACCUU
rnacentral:rRNA from 1 species